UACAGAGGUCUCAAGCGUUGUUCGGAAUCACUGGGCGUAAAGGGUGCGUAGGCGGCACGGUAAGUCAGAGGUGAAAUCCCGGAGCUCAACUUCGGAAUUGCCUCCGAUACUGCCGUGCUUGAGGACUGGAGAGGAGAUUGGAAUUCACAGUGGAGCAGUGAAAUGCGUAGAUAUUGUGAGGAACACUAGUGGCGAAGGCGAAUCUCUGGGCCUUACCUGACGCUGAGGCGCGAAAGCAUGGGGAGCGAACAGG
rnacentral:rRNA from 1 species